rnacentral:lncRNA from 1 species
GGAGGUUGCCCCUUAGGAUUUUCGAAAGGACAUGGAUGGAGUAAUGCUUGCUAGGUGGAUAAUUCGUCUAGACAAAAAAUUCAAAAACAAAAUAAUUAGACAGAAAAUUUAAAAACUGCUCUAAUUUUGCUGUUUGUUUGUGUACGUAAAAGAGAGAUUACAAAAGAGUUAUUUACUUUUUAAUUAAAUUCGUUCAUUUUUAGACGCAAGACUUUGGCAAAAAAUGUAUGUGAAGAAGAAUUAAAACCGUCUAGGAAAAGGUCAGUGCCUUUCAUCAUCUUUUAAUAUGCGUAAUACUGAUACUUUUAAUUGUAAUAUUAAAACUUACAGAGUAGUAUUAUUUGUAAUUAUUGUUUAUCUUAACCAUUUAAUUAAUUUGAUCGUUUUAGGAUCUGUAAACCCUGGAAUUUGAAAUAUUAUUGGGCAAUUGAAAUGUGAUUUUGAGGAAAUUAGUGUGGUUAUUACUACUAUAAAAUACUCCACUCCAUUAAAGAAAGGGAGAGAUUGUGAUUGCUUGCCUCUUUUUAUGAAAUUGUACGAUGUGAAUCAGAGCCUCAGAGGUGUAUGGAUUUGUGUGUUAGGAUUUUUUCAAGUGGCCAAAAUACCUCAAUGAUUUCUUGGUUUUUUGUCUUCUUUUUUUUUUUUUAACCUAAAUGGGUUUUUGUCAUUUUUGUUACGAGUUCCUUUAAUUUACCUAAUUCGAUUAGGUUGCAUUUGACUAUUCCUGCAUGAUUUCAAGCUUAACUUGCUCUCCUCUGUUUACAUGCUCUGCCAGCACUCAAUUGUUCUGUUAAGGCUUUGGCAUUACUGCUCGGUUUUCAAUUCUUAUUAUAAGAAUAAUACAUCCCUUUAUAUAAUUUCUUUUUGGAAAAUAGAGCAUGUCAGGUGCUGAGCCUCAUUCUUGUUUUGAAGAUCUUAAGGUUAUUCGUAGGCCUUUUCUACAAGCCUACAGUUGAGCUUCGUGAGUUAAGAAACUUAGGUAAUCCUGCAAAUACUAGACAAAAUUGAUUUCUUGAAUCUGGUUGAUUUAUAGUAUAGAGUACCUAUUAAUACUUAUGCAGCCUUUUUCCAGUUGUCAUCUAUGCAAAAAAGAAUAGAUUUUCUUCUAUUGAUCUUUCAUACUCCAAUUCGAAAUCCAUAAAUUUGCAUUUAGAAGGUCCUAAAUGGAAUAGUGGGUUCGAUUUUCUACUGAUUGUCAUAUUUAUGUUUAGAUGACUUGAAGUUUAGAAGUUGGCGUGAGCUUUGUGUACAUUACACAACAAUUGUCUGAGGUCUACUAGGUUAUUAUAGGCAUAUAUAAGUAAAGUAAGUGUUGAGACCUUAUAAGAAUGCAACCUAGGGAGGGAUGUUUUUAGCCCAGGGAAAAUUUUCACUAGAGAUGUCACUGUCUUCCGAGACAAACUGUAUUGGAUUUCUUAUGUUUAUGUAAAGCAACUUGGGAUGUUGGAUCCAAUUGAUCUUAAGAUCCAAAGCCAAUCAGUAAACAGUUGAAGUUGCCAGCUUGGAGGCCCUGCAGGCUGUUUGAGUGUAUGGAUCUUGUCCUUUUAGAUUUAUGAAGAAGUGUCUAAUGCGCUGAGAAGCUCGGAUAGUUCAUAGGAAAGGAAAGGAAAGUAUCUCAAUAUGUAUGUAAGUGGUAAAAGCUAAGCACCUACAUAUUUAUAAUCUGUUAAGUUGCUUCGUGUGUCUUUUUUAUGUGUAUAUGUAUACGUUUCUAACCUUCUUAGCUUAAGUUAUCAACUACCAAAAAAAAGCCUCAGGUAAAAGCCACUAGUAAAAUAGUGAUCACAGUAUAUUCUGUAGUGAAACUCAUAGACCCAAUCCUUGCUCUGUCACUCAAAAAUGGUGGCACAACACCCUUUCUGAUAGGGAUCAACCUAGUGCAGCAGUACUAGAAUUCAUAACCUACAGGCUAGUCACUCAUAUAUUAUGACCUUUUAGAUAAAUUAGUAUUUUGCUCUCAACUUAAAAGGUCCCUCACUUUGAAUGUCUUGUGCAUCUCUUAUCAUGAUGAUCAGAAAGGAAAUUCACACAUCUAAGGGUCAUAAGCUAAAGUAUCCCAAAGGGUGGCAAAUCUAUUUCAUUUCUAUCAGGGUCAGGAAUUGCAAGGCAUUCCCUUAUCGUAGGAGAAUCAAGAUGUGAUUGAGUUAAAUGAACACUGAAAAUGCACCAUUAACUCUAUAAUGCCUUUAAGAUGUCACUUGCUUAGCUGUGGAACAUAGGGAAGCACGAGACGUGAUCCAGAAGUUCAAGUAAAAGGGUGUGGCAUGUAUAUCCUUAGUUGGGAUAUCUGGUGUUGGGAAUCAUGCAUGCCCAAAUUUUAGGCAGUUAAAAUAGAAACUUUAGUUGUCUUUCAAAUUGUAAACCAUAUUAGGAAGUAUAAGCAAUGAAUUUGAUUAGGAUGAUGUUAUCAGCACCUCAAUUUCUAAGUCAACGAUAUCAGAUUUGUUAAUCCGUGUUAGUUCCUUAAGGUCUAUUGUAUACUUUUUACUCAAUAUAUUUUUCCUGCUUUCACAUGGAAUACAGAUCUUAUGAUGAUUUAUGAACAUGUUCAUUUUAAUCAAGCACAAUCAUACAUAAACCGUAAACAUUAGUUGUGGGGUUUUGGAUUAUGUCAUGCAAGGAUCCUUUUAUACCUUCCAUGUGCAAAUGAUUAACCCAAUGAAGUCAUUGAAGCUUUUAAUGAUUAUGAAUCUUUCUUUUCCCAGUAACAUUAUCAAAUGAACCAUGAGAGUGGAUAGCUCAUGUUUGAGCCUCGCACUCAUUAAUUUGCUUAUACGUAAGCUGCAUCUUGCAUUGCAGAAGGGAGAUGAUUCAGUGGAUCCUGACAGAUUUUUAAAGGAAAAUGCGAGAUCUUUUUUUGUCAUCAGUGUUUUAAAUCAUCAACUAAUUGUUGUCAUCCAUGGUAUGCAACUUCACGCCCAAGGUAUACAACUGGCUUUCGGAGAGCAUUUUUACGACAUGCUUUCUUGUUGAUCCAUAACUAGUUAAAAAACAAAAUCAUGGGGAAAAGUAGGCAUAUCUCUGAAUAGAAUGCUUGUAUUUUUAGAAUAAACGUUGUCUAUUAUAUUUCUCUCUUUUUAGCAAGCUUGUAAAAAAAAGGAGACAGACAAUAUGGGUAAGUAAAAAUUAAACUACACUCAUCUCCCAUGAAACUUGGAUCAUUGCAUCUAGCUGUGAUAUAUGCUACAUUAACCAAGUUUCACCUUCACCUUCAUAUAUGUUCAACACUGCAUAGCCAACAUAUGUUAGGGAUACACUUAAAUGGAUAAUCUGAACUACCCUAUAAAAUGAGUUGCUAGUUGCUAGUUGUUACUAGUUCAUGUUCUCUAGGAACUUAGUAGAUCAGUGCAUAUUUUGAUUGAAUACUAGCAGUUUUGACAUGGUAGCAUCUUAUUUCUUUUUAUAUUCUUCAUUUUAUUUUAUUUUUUCAUUUUUGGAAUUCAAGUAGGAAUAUCUGUUGUACUGUCAAUUGUGAUAUACUUUCUGGUAAUUUAAAGUGUGUACCAGAGUAACCAACCUUCAAGCAUAUGUUUUACCAAGUGCUGGAACAUAGUUUUCAAUUUCUUAUUAGAUUUAUUCCAAAUUAAAACAAAGAAGCAGUCCAACAAAAAGAUGAAUUCAAAAUUUUCAAAAACCUAGAAAGCCGAAAUGUUACAGGGGACUUUCUUGAUGGUGACAAUUGAUUCGAGGGAAUAUGAAAAAAUAAAGGUGAUGUAUUCCCAAUCUUCCAAUGUGAUAUUGAAUGUGUCUAAAGUUUAGUGUUUCACCUACUGUUUACCACUCCCUUUGCCUUUAUUUCCUUUGUUCCAGAUUCUCCCCUUGUCUUCCUGAUAAUGUCAGGCGAAACAACCUCCC